rnacentral:lncRNA from 1 species
AAUCUGCUUAACCAGGCUUUAGAGGCCAAGCAAAUCUGAGAUCAAUUUUCUCGUUUAGCUCUAAGUGACAUCAUCUAAAAUCAUUGUGCAAGGGCUAAAUAAGGAAACGGAGUCUAAUUCAGGGGCAAACGCCAGGCUAUAUUUAUCAAACGCCAAGCUCCAGAAAGCCUCGGCUAGGAAGCCUCGGCAGUGAAAUCCGAGGGCUCGGGGUUGCCCGCUCCCGGAAUCCCGGAGUCUCCGCGGCCCGAACCGAGUCUGGACCAUUUAGAAGACGCCGGCAGAGCGCGCGUAGAGACCAUUUCCCCUGCAACGCCCCCCAGCCGAACACCCGCCGGGUGUGGCACCUCGGCCGAAACUCCUGGGGCGGCGCGGUGGAGCGUGUGGAGGUUUCCGGGAAGACGCCUACGGCUGCGGCUCCGACUGUGCGGGCUCCCGCCGCCCAGGCAAGAGCGUCCAGGAGCGCGCUGGAAGCUGCGGCGCGCACCUUCCCCGGCGCAGUCUCUUGCCAGCCGGCGAUCACGCAGAGCUGAACCCCGCAGCUAGGCGCGCAGGAAGGGCUGCACAGAGUUUGAAGACACGGCAGCUGUAAGCUGGCGUGAGGAGGCCAAAGGAGCGCGCAGAGCUGCAAGCAAAGGGCGGUGGGGCCUGGACCCUGAAGUGAGUGGCCGACCGCAGCAGCUCAAGGUGCCAUCUGCCUGGUGAGUUAACCCCACGUGGCUGUGAGACAGGUGGUGGCGGGUGUCAGGUAUUGGGCCAAGUGUAGUGGGGGCGUCCUUCUGCUAGAGCUCUGAAAAGGGUUGGCCCCGGAAGGCUGGAUAACGGCGGACUAGAAACCCUGGCAUUAUUAAGUCCCUGAGCAAUUUCACUCAAAGAUGCGAAACUGGACCUUAAACGAAGGAAAUUGACGUCAAAGUAUUCCCUCCUCUCUACCCCAUUCUCAACACAUGCCAGGCAAGCUACCCGGGUCCCUCCGCCCCACUCUAACUUUCCGCGAAAAUCAGUUCCGCCUCUGCCCCAAGAGCCAAGAGGGGUGGAAAGGAAGAGAGCUUGGGCUGGGAACGCGCCUGAUGUCUAACAGAAAGGCAGUGGCAGCUGGAGCACCUGGGCAGAGCAAGCGGAGAGGCGCCACAUCCCCGAGAGGCGCUUCGUAGUUGUCCUUGGACCGGGCGCAGACACUCAGUAUUGCAGCGAAAAAUCCCCCUCCUGCUGCACUCCUCCGCCACCGGGCUAGGUUGAAAGGAAAAAGCCAAGAAGCGCGAAGCAGCCCGGCUCUGGAAGGCUUUGGAGAGUCCAGCUGACUUGUACACAAUUCGCGGCCUCUGGAGCCUUACCUGCCUUCUUGACUGAAUGCCACCAGUUCGUUUUACGCUUGUGGCCUGUGAGGUGUGUCCCUCCAGACUGAGAGGCUAUGACUCAGGGUUGGACUUUAUGGAAAAAAAGAAGUUUAUAAAACAAGUAACCCAGUUUCUCCAACCUUUACUGUGGAGCAACAGCGUCAAGCAACAAAACCCAGCAAAGUUUUGCUUGUCACUUACAAGGGUGUUACUGAAAUCUGGAAGGCGAACAAUUAGAAGAUAGCCCAAACAUGCUCUAUUGCUCUACACUGAAAUACUUGCCUCCAAUAAUAGAAAAAACCUGUUUUCGUGCAAUUGAUUGAUUAGCGUUCUGCAGCAGUCCCUGGACAAUUUUAAAGACAUUUUGUGUUUGUGGCCAAAAUUAGAAACAAGCAGACACACACACAAAACAACCAUAUUCAAGACACGGUUCGACUGUUUCCUUGACACUACCCACGAAGUUUAAAGCAUUUUUUAUGUUAUUUUCAAACUUUCUUAAGUGAUCCCAUGAAAUAAAAGUCGAUAAUAGAAAUUAAAACAACACAGAGCAAAGAACGAGCUUAGUGAAAUGGAGAAGCAGUAGAGGUAAAUAAAAAUCCUCGAGCUAGAAAGCUCUAAGAACCGCUUAUAAAUUCAGUUACCUCCUGAACUCCGGCCGAUGGCCACUCCGGCCCGGGAGUGCCCCGCGCCGACCCGCUGGCCUUGGCCGUCUCAGCCUUCAUUAUCGCCACGGCCUUGGCGCCCCCUGCCCCCGGCUGCCCAGGGGAACCAAGUUCCCGCUGCUGGAGUUGGGGCAGAGGAGCCCCGCCUCAUUCAGGAUUCGGUGGCCAGCGCAGAGCCAUUUGAAUAGAAGAAGCCCGAAGUGAAACAGAAAAGCUGAAAACUCCCCGGCUGGGCUCUCCACUUCUCGGUUCUUGCUCACGAGUUCCAAACAGUUAAAGUGACGUUGGCAAGGCCGAGGGCCACCGAGCUCUGUGAGACUCCCUUGGAGGGGUCAGGAAACUUAGCUCGAGAAGCUUGGAGGCGGCUGGGAGUUGGGGCGCAACUUCAGUGACCGGGCGCCGCUGCCGGGCUGGGGCUCCCAAGCGUCCGGCUCCCGGGGUGGUCGACGCGGCGCUGCCUUCGAUCAGGUCCCGCCGACCUCGGGCCUCUGGACCACCACCGCCCCAGCUGGUCUGGCAACCCAUCCCGGGCGCAAUCGCGCUCCUCCCCUUCUCCUCUGCAUUCCCGCAGGUCCUGGGGCGGCUCCAUCCCCCCAAGGCUGAGAGAUGGCGAGGGAGGCUCCAAAGAGUUUCGGGAGGGGGCGCCGGAUCUGGUUUAAGAGACCGCGGAACAGAUGGUGGAGAGCUCCUGGAUGAAAGUUUUUGAACAGGCACUCGCUAAUAGACUUGCUUUGACGACUCAGGGUGUAAUUGAAGGGUCAUUUAAUCUAGACGCAAGGUGAAAGAAAACAGGCCCGGGGGUGUGGCAUACCUAAGGAGGAACUAGAGCAUCUUUUCACUAGGUUUGCCUGUCAUUUUGACUUUCCUGGAAAAUACGUUCUUAAGUCAAAUUUUAAGAAUGUCUGAGAAGCAUCUCUGAGUAUCUCUUCCAAAAACCUUUCGUGUAUUUUUUUAGCCGACCUCCUUCCUCCGAGAAUCCUCCCUUUUGAAGCCGUUUGGCCUGUGCUUAAGAGUAGUUGGGGUCUCCUUAUGGUCCCAGGGCAAAGAGAAUUUUCUAACUAGAUUCUCCUGUUUAAGACCUUAACAGAAAGGCCUUUCUACCUUCCCUUCUUUGGCUUUACUCUCCAAUUUGUUCUUUCAUUCCCGAGUUCUCCCAGUGAAACCCUGCAUCUCCUCUAAAAGAGAGUAUUUCAUGGCUGUCCAAAGAGGGCCAUACCCCGUGGCCACCUCUCGCGGGCCUCCAUAGCCUCUGUAAAAGAGGAAGCACUCAGCCACUGGCCGGCCCCCUUUUGUUGAUGGAAGUGGAUGCUGUUCUGUUUCCUCCCUUCCCGCCCUUAGGCCUCUCCCAGACCAGAUUCUGCACGCCUUGUGCAUGUUUCAAGAGUUGAGCACUAAGAUCCAAUCCCAAGAAGAGGCUUGAUCCAUCAUUAAGAAAUCUUACUACCUUUUAAAAUGUUAUUGCCUUCUCACUUUAAAUUAAUUUAGAAGAUUUUUUUUUUCCCUCUUCCCACUGUCUCCUCUUACUUCAAGUUCAGUUAAUUCUCUGAAUUCACGAACAGUGGGGCUGCCCUCAUAGUUUCUCAGCAGUCCCACACAGAGGAAAAGGCUCCUGGAAACAACGCGAAGCUUUAAGCGCCCCGCGCGGGUGUU